AAAAGUUCUUGCUUUCCUUUGUGGACAUCAUGACUUUGGAAAUGAUUCCUCAUGGCCUCCUAUUUGCUGCAAAUACACUUUACUUUGUGAGACAACUUCCACGGGUGUAGAUUCUUAUUUAACUCACCAGGAUGCGGCCCACUUGGUUCAGUAAGAGAAAUGGCAACCCAGAGGGGACAUAUCGCUUCGUAGUGCCUGUGCUGCAGGCUUGACGUUGCUGCCCUGUCGGGAGACCCAGCGGCUGCACUGAUCGUUUUGCUUGGAGGAUCUCUCAAUGGAGGAUAAAGCUGAGGAUGAAAAGGAAGACAAAAAGAUGAAAAGGCAAGCUGCUCUAUUAGUUGCGGCCCUCCAGUCUACUCAAGGUAACCCGAGGGAGAGAAGACGCCAUGGAAGGAGUCACUCCUUGGAUCCACCACACAUGGGUAAAAAAGGUACCCACGCCUGAACAUCAAGAGAUAGCGUUACAGACAACUGACUCCGAGUUUUCCUGCAAACCACUCUCUGAUUUGAAACUCCUGUUUCAGUGACACCAUGCAGGCAAGUAAUGACCAGCUAUCCACCCCAGGCUCUGCCCUGGACCCUAACAAACCCCAUACUAUUUAGGCAUGGUAUACUUCCAAGGAGGUUUCAUGUUUCUGGGCAGCAGGACUAGGUCCAUCAGAGAAAUGGGCAACCCAGUAUCUAGACUAUAAAGAGCUGAUGGAAUCUAGAGGGGGAAGGGCAAGUAUGCCCAGAUACUAAACACAUUGAGGUCAUAAAAUUACAGAUGGUUGCUACAAACAACUUGGGGCUAUGCAUCUGGUGACCCACAAACCUAUUUGAGAUUGCCUGAAAAUUCUGGUCCUCUAUUGAUCACAGGAAGCAGG